UUACCCCAAUUUUCAGUUAUGCGAUUUGCCCUUUCUGGAAGCAUCCUUCUACACCGACAUCUCUACACCGACAUCAACUCUUCCAGACUAUAAAUUGAAAUCAACUCUUCUAGAUCGAUCUGAACUUUACCCCAAUUUUCAGUUCUGCUUCUGCCCUUUCUAUUCGGUUUACUUACGGUUUUGUGGUUGGAGUCCUGACCUUGAUAUAUCACCUCCACUUGAUUUCUUCUUUCUUCUACAGUCCUGUAAACCAUCUUUAUCAAUUAUCAAGAACGAUCGAGGAGAGAGAGAGAGAGAGAGAGAGAGAGAGAGAGAGAGAGAGAGAGAAAUCGGUUGUGUUUCUUUGCUUUGCACGAGGAGAUAGAGAGAUAGAGAAACGGUGUGUUUCUUUGGUUUGCACGAAGAGAGAGAGAGAGAGAUCGGAGGCAAAUUCUCACGUCAUCAUCAUCUGAUAUCGGAGGCUGAAUGUUGGAGAUGGCAAACAAAUCUUGAGCUAUGCUUGAGGACAGUUCUACAGAGCCAAUGCAUCAAGUACCUUGGACCGGAUGGUUUCUCAUCUAAUGUUGGGACCUUGAAAUGGGUAAACCAUGUCAUUCUCUUAUCUCAGGUGCCUCUCUCUCUUCCUCUCAGUGUUAGAAACAUCACCACUGUAAGAAAGGAAUCGUUUUUUUUUUUUUACUGUGAUUAAUAAGACUAGCAGUUAAAUGUUUACAUAGGUGCUGGUGGCAUCCAAGCUCUCAUGAAAAGCAAUGAAAAAAAAUUAGCCUAAGAAGAUGGGUCAAUACAUCAGGCCUCUGAAAUCCCUUACACCAUCAGGGCUGGUUUGUUACAAAACUCUCCACGUCAAAUUCAAGGCUUUUAACUUUAAAAAGAUUAGUUGAUACCAAAGUUUUCUCCUUUUUUUUUUUUCUUUCCCUUGCAGCCAUUAGAGAACUAACCGAAUAUAUGUGGAUCAAGUAUGCAUAGUUUCUUCAUGUCCUUUGUGAAAUUCAAAUCAGUUUGCUCUCUUUACAUUGCUGUAAUCUAAUAUACAUGGGGAAAAAAUAUGUACUGUUCACAUUUUGUAAAGGAGGCCUGAAUUUUUUAGCAAUUGUAAGCAAUCCUAGACGAUGUCUGAAUAGAUCAUUAUGUAAAGUUCACUCAUAUGAUACAAAAGUGCAUUGGUCGUAGGAGAUU